rnacentral:lncRNA from 1 species
ACAGUGGCGCUACAGUGCCUGGAGCUGCGCUGGUUUUUCCUCGGAGUGGAGCCUGGUAACCGCGACUUCCCCGCCAUGUUCUGUGUGUUGCUGGCUGGAGAAGGGUGGUUGACAAACUCCGACCCAGCACAGUGUUUCUGUGGGUCAAAACUAGAAAACUAUGUCCAGGCUCGGCCGAGGCGGAAGGAUCCGUUCAGGCCAGGAGUUAAAGAGCUGCCUGGGCAACAUGGCGCGACCCCAUCUCUGUAGUCCCACCUCAGCUUCCCAGAUACUUGAACCCCAAGGUUCAAGGCUGCAAUGAGCUAUGAUCCCAUCACAGCACUCCAUCCUGCGAGACGGAGGACCUGCGGAGCAGCCAGGCUUCAUGAGUUAAAUGCAGAUCUGAACCAUACCCAGUUGGGAUUGGGGUACACACUCUACUCCUCUGAAAACUAGCUAGGGGUUCGAACUUGGUGAGAGGGAGAGUGGGACAGAGCCAGACCAGACAAGGACUGAUCACCUGGAAAAACCUGCCAUCAAAGACCUUGACGAGUGCUGGGGGCGGUGGCUCAUGCCUGUAAUCCCAACACUUUGGGAGGCUGAGACAGGUGGAUCACUUGAGGCCAGGAGUUCGAGUCCCGCCUGGGCAACAUGGCAAAACCCUGUCUCUACUAAAAAUACAAAAAUUAGCUA